AUUGAACGCUGGCGGCAGGCCUAACACAUGCAAGUCGAACGGUAACAGGAAGAAGCUUGCUUCUUUUCUGACGCGUGUCGGACGGGUGAGUAAUGUCUGGGAAACUGCCUGAUGGAGGGGGAUAACUACUGGAAACGGUAGCUAAUACCGCAUAACGUCGCAAGACCAAAGAGGGGGACCUUCGGGCCUCUUGCCAUACGAUUUGCCCAGAUGGGAUUAGCUAGUAGGUUGGUUACCGGCUCACCUAGGCGACGAUCCCUAGCUGGUCUGAGAGGAUGACCAGCCACACUUGAACUGAGACACGGUCCAGACUCCUACGUGAGGCAGCAGUGGGGAAUAUUGCACAAUGGGCGGAAGCCUGAUGCAGCCAUGCCGCGUGUAUGAAGAAGGCCUUCGGGUUGUAAAGUACUUGCAGCGAGGAGGAAUGGAGUAGAGUUAAUACCUUUGCUCAUUGACGUUACCCGCAGAAGAAGCACCGGCUAACUCCGUG
rnacentral:rRNA from 1 species